rnacentral:rRNA from 1 species
UACGUAGGGGGCAAGCGUUAUCCGGAAUUACUGGGUGUAAAGGGUGCGUAGGCGGCCCGGCAAGUCAGUUGUGAAACCCGAUAGCUCAACUAUCGGCUUGCAAUUGAAACUGUCAGGCUAGAGUACAGGAGAGGAAAGCGGAAUUCCUAGUGUAGCGGUGAAAUGCGUAGAUAUUAGGAAGAACACCAGUGGCGAAGGCGGCUUUCUGGACUGAAACUGACGCUGAGGCACGAAAGCGUGGGGAGCAAACAGG